rnacentral:rRNA from 1 species
GCAUGUCGAGCGCUCUCAGCUAUGUAGAGAGCGCGGCGAACGGCUCCGUAACACGUAGUUAACCUACCCUCGGGAUGGGGAUAACCCCGGGAAACUGGGAUUAAUACCCACUAGAUGAUUAUACCUGGAAUGGCUUAUCAUCGAAAGAGUCUGGAAACAUGCUUCCAGCGUCGCCCGAGGAUGGGACCGCGUCCGAUCAGGUUGUUGGUGGGGUAACGGCCUACCAAGCCUAUAACCGGUACGGGCCCUGAGAGGGGGAGCCCGGAGAUGGAAACUGAGAAAAGGUUCCAGGCCCUACGGGGUGCAGCAGGCGCGAAACCUCCACAAUGCACGAAAGCGUGAUGGGGUUAUCCCGAGUGCCGUCCGAUGAGGAUGGCUUUUCAUCGGUGUAAGGAUCCGAUGGAAUAAAGGGGGGGCAAGACUGGUGUCAGCCGCCGCGGUAAUACCAGCCCCCUGAGUGGUAAGGACGAUUAUUUGGCCUAAAGCGUUCGUAGCCGGCUUAUCAAGUCUUUUGUUAAAUCCAACGAUUCAAUCGUUGGGCCGCAAAAGAUACUGUUAUGCUAGAGGACGGGAGAGGUCGACGGUAUUCCAGGGGUAGGGGUGAAAUCCUAUAAUCCUUGGAGGACACCAGUGGCGAAGGCGGUCGACUAGAACGUGCCUGACGGUGAGGGACGAAAGCUGGGGGAGCGAACCGGAUUAGAUACCCGGGUAGUCCCAGCCGUAAACGAUGCGGGCUAGGUGUU